CAGUAGCCGCGGUAAUACGUAGGUGGCAAGCGUUGUCCGGAAUUAUUGGGCGUAAAGGGCUCGCAGGCGGUUUCUUAUGUCUGAUGUGAAAGCCCCCGGCUCAACCGGGGAGGGUCAUUGGAAACUGGGAAACUUGAGUGCAGAAGAGGAGAGUGGAAUUCCACGUGUAGCGGUGAAAUGCGUAGAGAUGUGGAGGAACACCAGUGGCGAAGGCGACUCUCUGGUCUGUAACUGACGCUGAGGAGCGAAAGCGUGGGGAGCGAACAGGAUUAGAUACCCGCGUAGUCCCUGUCUCUUAUAC
rnacentral:rRNA from 1 species